rnacentral:lncRNA from 1 species
CCCAGGAGCCAAUAUCCUUGUUCUUGAAACCCUAGUUCACCAAAUUCUACUCAAAAUCAAAGAAGGAAUCAAGUAGGAAAUCGUUUUCAAACUAAAUUCGUGAUCAUUACACUUAGUGGAUCACAAGGUAUGCUUAAUUUUAAUCUUUGGAUGAAUCCUUUGAUGAUGGUGGCAGUUUGGGAGGAUCGUCUAGUAACCAAGACGGAGCGGAUAGUCGGUAAAAGGGAAAGCUUUAAAGGUGACCAUAAUUACUAGACGGAUGACGAUCAAGCAAGAAAAUGAACCGAGUACACACUUAAUCAAAGCUUCCGCGACUAAACCAAGACUUUUGGCACGGCCACUUUAGAGUUGUGUUAUCAUACUUUUGUACAUAUGGUGACCAUAAUUACUAGACGGAUGACGAUUAAGCAAGAAAAUGAACCGAGUACACACUUAAUCAAAGCUUCCGCGACUAAACCAAGACUUUUGUCACGAC